AACUCGGAAAUAUUCAUUGCACCUCUUUAUUAGCAAAGUUGUUGGCCUAUCUUACCCCUCACCCUCUUUGUUCAUAAAAAGAAUCCUCGUCCACAUGUUCCGGUUCUUCAUCUUCUCUUCUGAAAUCAUACGAAGCAGUCUCUUAGAUCUCUUCAGGUCCCAUGCAGAUUCAGUCCUUGAUGGAUAACCUUCGCCAAUCGCCGCCGGUGGUGACCAGUACUACUGGUAGAUUAGGCCACCUCCUCUACUUAGCAAAGAAAUCCGAUAAGGAUCUGUCCCGGCAAAGGAAGAACCGGAUCGAGUAACGAUCCUCAAUAGCACUGGAUACGUUCGAGGACGGGGUCGUGAGCAUGGUUCAUCAACCAGGGUUAAGGAUAUGAACCCAUAGAAUAGAUCAUGUUCAAGUAAGCCAUCUCAACCCCUAAGGCCUCCAGCGAAAGCCCAAAGUAGCGGAUCAUAUAUUAACCGCCCUAUUAGUAAAAAUUUCCCCAAUUUCCCCAACCCUAAUCAUUCUCGAUCUAUCAAAUCUCGCUUCUCUUCUCUGACCUAGAACAUGGCGAAUGCGAUGACGAUGGCGAACGUGAAUGAGAUGGUGAAUGCGAUGGCUCAUUGGCCUUCGUAUGAAGAUUUGGGAGUGUACUUAAAACAACGAUGGUUCACCUUACUGGGGUACUCUUUCCCAUGGUUUGAAACACAUCCUACUUCACUAUUUCAAUAGUAUAAUCUUUGACUCUUGGAGGUUGAUGAGACCGGAAUUACUUAAUUUGGCCCCCGUUGUCUUGUAUAAAAGAGAAAGGCUCUCUUGGGCAUUUGCAAUUAUAAGACAAUUUGAAUCGUUGUUGAAAACUAAAAAUAUGCUCGAGCCAGAUGUUUAUUUGUCGGUUCAAGAUCUUAUCAACAAGACCCCCAAAGAAUAUAUGUAUGGAGAUGGUGACAUUAUCAAGUUGAAGUGGGCACCUUGGGCGCUUUUGAAUUGCGGUAUUGUAACUGAGGAGCGUUGUCCUCUAACGUUUGCUCUAGAUGUAGUUGGACCUACUUGUGGUCCGGAAGUGCCCGUUUACAGACUUAGAAAAGUGACUAUUGUGCGGAAGGCCGAAGUUGUCGUAGUUGAGGGAGACGAAGUUGAGGGAACCUGGCGCAUGAUGAUUAAAAAUAAACUUUCGGUUGCACCGUUUGCAGCCUCUGUUCUCUGCUUUAGUAGCUAUAACAAUAAUCUUGGGGGAAAGGAUGUUUGUAAACCAACUGAGGAAGAAUGGGCACAUUAUCUACUUGUCAAGCUGGCUCCUCUGCGCCUCAUGUUUCUAACAGCUUCUAUUCUUAUCCGAUUAUACCAAGGGUUUGCCUUAGUUAAUUUUCUAGGAAUAUCUUUAUCGGAUUUGUUAAAAUCACAUUCUCAGUCACAGUCACAGUCACCGUGACUUUAGGGACACAUGCGUAUUGAUAUAGACUAUGAGAUUUUAAGUUAUGAUUUAUAUAUUCUGUGUCUUGCGGUUAUCAUGUUGUGAACAGGGAUGAUUACGGAUGAACUUGGAAAUGACCUACUUGAGUUUCAAGAUAAUGGUUUUGAUGUGGGAAAUGGGGAUCGAGGCUUUCUGUACUUUCCUCUAUAUUUGGCCACAGAGUAUGUUAAUAUGGAGGUCUGAUACGAUGAUUUUCGAUGAUGGCCGUGGUUAGAAGUUAGAUACUUGAAAACAGAUCGCUGUUGCUCUUGUUUUGCAACGUUUGGCCCGUGGUCUUUAGUUUUUAUUUUCAAUGUUAAAAGUUGAUACUUGAAAACAGAUCGCCGUUGUUUACAUUUUGUUCAUCUCUUUUUCUUGUUUUGCAACGUUGGGAAUAUAAGGAGGCAUCAAAUUAGGAUUUAUCUUGAAUAAUCAUUGAAAAAUAUACUUUCACAAUC